rnacentral:lncRNA from 1 species
CUAUUGUGAAUACUGAUAUGAACAUGGUUGUAUAAGAUGUGUUUGUGAUACACUCACCUCAGCCUCCUGAGUAGCUGAGACUGCAGGCAUGCACCACCAUGCCCAGCUAAUUUUUUCAAUUUUUUGUAGAGGUGGGGCCUCUCCGUGUUGCCCAGGCUGGUCUCCAACUCAUAGGCUUAAGUCAUCUUCCUGUCUUGGCCUCCUAAAAUGCUGGGAAUAUGGGCAUAAGCCGCUGCACCCAGCCUAUGUUUAACUUUUUCAGAAAUCACCAUACUUUUUUCACAGCAGCUGCACCAUUUUAUGUUCCUACCAACAAUGUAUAAGCGUUCCAAUUUCUCCACAUCCUUACCACCACUUGUUAUGUUUCAUUUUUUAAAUAAAAGCUGUGCUAAUGGGUGUGAAAGGGUAUCUCACUGCAGUUCUGAUUCGCAUGGCCCUAAUGACUACUGAUGUUGAGCAUCUUUUCCUGUGUUUGU